rnacentral:tRNA from 2 species
CGGAGUGUAGCGCAGCCUGGUAGCGCACCUGCUUCGGGAGCAGGGGGUCGUGAGUUCGAAUCUCGCCACUCCGACCA